UACGUAGGGGGCUAGCGUUGUCCGGAUUUAUUGGGCGUAAAGAGCGUGUAGGCGGCCAGGUAGGUCUGCUGUGAAAACUCGAGGCUCAACCUCGAGACGUCGGCGGAAACCAUCUGGCUAGAGUCCGGAAGAGGAGAGUGGAAUUCCUGGUGUAGCGGUGAAAUGCGCAGAUAUCAGGAAGAACACCGACGGCGAAGGCAGCUCGCUGGGACGGUACUGACGCUGAGGCGCGAAAAGCGUGGGGAGCGAACAGG
rnacentral:rRNA from 1 species